CUCAAGUUUGAGGUGAAAGCAGGCUCAGAGUCCACCUGUGCUCGCUGAUCCAUGGAUUUCUGUGUGACCAGAUUACACCUAUGGAGCUGCAGCCCCGACUACCACCAGCUUGCUCAUCCCUCU